rnacentral:rRNA from 1 species
UACGUAGGGUGCAGGCGUUAAUCGGAAUUACUGGGCGUAAAGCGUGCGCAGGCGGUCUUUUAAGUCAGAUGUGAAAUCCCCCGGGCUUAACCUGGGAACUGCGUUUGAAACUGGAAGGCUAGAGUGUGGCAGAGGGGGGGUGGAAUUCCACGUGUAGCAGUGAAAUGCGUAGAGAUGUGGAGGAACACCGAUGGCGAAGGCAGCCCCCUGGGCUAACACUGACGCUCAUGCACGAAAGCGUGGGGAGCAAACAGG